AGUGAACGCUGGCGGUAGGCCUAACACAUGCAAGUCGAACGGCAGCACAGUAAGAGCUUGCUCUUACGGGUGGCGAGUGGCGGACGGGUGAGGAAUACAUCGGAAUCUACUUUUUCGUGGGGGAUAACGUAGGGAAACUUACGCUAAUACCGCAUACGAUCUACGGGUGAAAGCAGGGGAUAUUCGGACCUUGCGCGAUUGAAUGAGCCGAUGUCGGAUUAGCUAGUUGGCGGGGUAAAGGCCCACCAAGGCGACGAUCCGUAGCUGGUCUGAGUGGAUGGUCGGCCACACGAGAACUGAGACACGGUCCAGACUCCUAAGGGAGGCAGCAGUGGGGAAUAUUAGACAAUGGGCGCAAGCCUGAUACAGCCAUACCGCGUGGGUGAAGAAGGCCUUCGGGUUGUAAAGCCCUUUUGUUGGGAAAGAAAAGCAGCAGGUUAAUACCCCGCUGUUCUGACGGUACCCAAAGAAUAAGCACCGGCUAACUUCGUG
rnacentral:rRNA from 1 species